rnacentral:rRNA from 1 species
AAAGAAAGUAAGCAAGGGCGCAUGGCGGAUGCCUUGGCUCUCGGAGGCGAUGAAGGACGUGAUAAGCUGCGAUAAGCUCUGGGUAGGUGCAAAUAACCUUUGAUCCAGAGAUUUCCGAAUGGGACAACCCGGCAUUCUGAAGGAAUGUCAUCCAUCUUUGAUGGAAGCUAACGCAGGGAACUGAAACAUCUUAGUACCUGUAGGAAAAGAAAAUAAUAAUGAUUCCCCUAGUAGUGGCGAGCGAACGGGGAAUAGCCCAAACCACCCAUGUUACGGCAUGUGUGGGGUUGUAGGACCACGAUGUCGCAAGACAUUUGAUGAGUAGAAUCCUCUGGAAAGUGGAACCAUAGACGGUGAUAGUCCGGUAUACGAAGUCAAAUUAAGCGUAGUGGUAUCCUGAGUAGCGCGGGACACGAGAAAUCUUGCGUGAAUCUGCCGGGACCAUCCGGUAAGGCUAAAUACUCCCGAGAGACCGAUAGCGAACCAGUACUGUGAAGGAAAGGUGAAAAGCACUUCGAAUAGAAGAGUGAAAUAGUCCCUGAAACCGUGCGCCUACAAGCGGUCGGAGCUGCGUAAGCAGUGACGGCGUGCCUUUUGCAUAAUGAACCUACGAGUUACUUUUUCCGGCAAGGUUAAGCAUCUUGAGAUGUGCAGCCGAAGCGAAAGCGAGUCUGAACAGGGCGUCGAGUCGGAAGGAGUAGACGCGAAACCAAGUGAUCUACCCUUGGUCAGGUUGAAGGUUAGGUAACACUAACUGGAGGACCGAACCGAUAAGCGUUGAAAAGCUUCCGGAUGAACUGAGGGUGGGGGUGAAAGGCUAAUCAAACUUGGAGAUAGCUCGUACUCCCCGAAAUGCAUUUAGGUGCAGCCUUGUGAGUUACUAAUGUGAGGUAGAGCGACUGAUAAGAUGCGAGGGCUUCACCGCCUAUCAAGUCUUGAUAAACUCCGAAUGCGCAUUAGUUCUAUCACAGGAGUGAGGGCAUGGGUGCUAAGGUCCAUGUCCUAAAGGAGAAGAAUCCAGACCAUCAGCUAAGGUCCCCAAAUAAACACUAAGUUGAACUAACGAAGUCAGAUUGCUAAGACAGCUAGGAUGUUGGCUUGGAAGCAGCCAUUCAUUUAAAGAGUGCGUAACAGCUCACUAGUCGAGGAGUUUGGCGUGGAUAAUAAUCGGGCAUUAAGUGUUUUACCGAAGCUAUGGGAUCAGUAAUGAUCGGUAGGGGAGCAUUCCACUCUGCGUCGAAGGUGAAGCGUGAGCUUUGCUGGAGCGUGUGGAAAAGCAAAUGUAGGUAUAAGUAACGAUAAAGGGGGUGAGAAACCCCCUCGCCGAAAGACUAAGGUUUCCUGAUCAACGCUAAUCGGAUCAGGGUUAGUCGGGUCCUAAGGCUCAGCCGAACGGUGAGGCCGAUGGCAGAACAGGUUAAUAUUCCUGUACUACCUUAAGGAGUGACGUGGAGACGGAGGCGUGACAGCGCCGCGGACUGACGGAAUAGUCCGUUGAAGGGUGUAGAUGCUGAUUAUCCCAGGCAAAUCCGGGAUAAGAGUCGAACCUGAUAGUAUGGAGCGUUCUUCGGAACAAUCCAAUAGUGCGUGUAAUCAUACUCCCAAGAAAAUCCGCUAAACUUAAUCCUUGAGGUACCCGUACCGCAAACGGACACACGUAGUCGGGUUGAAUAUACUAAGGCGCUUGAGUGAUUCACGGUUAAGGAACUAGGCAAAUUGACCCUGUAACUUCGGGAUAAAGGGUCCCAACGAGAGUUGGGCGCAGAGAAUAGGUCCAGGCAACUGUUUAACAAAAACACAGGGCUGUGCCAAAUUGAAAGAUUACGUAUACAGCCUGACACCUGCCCGGUGCUGGAAGGUUAAGAGGAGAUGUCAUCGCAAGAGAAGCAUUGAAUUGAAGCCCCAGUAAACGGCGGCCGUAACUAUAACGGUCCUAAGGUAGCGAAAUUCCUUGUCGGGUAAGUUCCG